rnacentral:lncRNA from 1 species
CGUCAGAGAGUAUAUAUAAAGAGAGUUGAGUUAUAAUACAUAUUAUUUAUAAAUAUAUAGUAAUUUAUUUUAUAGUAUUAAAUAUAUACUAUUAUAUAUUAUAUUAUAUACUUAAUUAAUAUAUAAUAUAUUUUUAUCCCUCAAAAAAAUAUAUAAUAUAUUUUAUUUAUAAAUAUAAACUUUUUUUUGAGAAAUUUUUAUAAAUACAAACUAUAAUACUAAUAUAGGUAAUAUGAUAACCCCUUAUUAUAGGGAUAAUUUCAUAGAUGCCCUUUCAGAAACUAUUAAUUUCAUCAAUGCCCUUCUAAAAUCGAUAAUUUCAUGAAUGCCGUCCAAUAUAUCAAAAAUUAUCAUAUAUGCCCUUCACUAGUUAAGUUCUGUCAAAGUCCCUUUAAAAUGGAGUUAUAUUUUUAAAAUACCAUUUUUACCCUUUAUCUCUCAUCAACCGUACAAAUACUAAUAGAUAUUUCAAGACAAUUUCUGUAAACCUAAAUUUAAUUAUUUAAUAUACUAAAUAUUAAAUUAAAUUAUUAAUAUAUAUUUAUUUUUAAAAUAUAUAUAUAUAUUGUAUUUUUUAUAUAUAGUAUGUUUUUAUGUGAUUUUAGUUUUGUUUUCGGCUUCGGAUUUCGGUUCAGGUUUGGUUUAGAUAUAAAUCAAAACCAUAACUGAGUUUGAAUAUAAUGUGAUUUAUUUUUUUUGUAAUUUUAACU